GAGGCCCCAGGCUGGACUCACUUCCUCCAGCCAGAAGGCAAGAGAGGGGGGUAGGGGCAGGGUUGUGGGCCUGUUCUCGUCAGUCCCCACCCCCACACAGUGUGGAUCAGCUUCUCGCCCACAGGCAAGCCAUGUGGGGCUGCCUGCCUGUGCUCAUCCUCACUCGCCCGCAACUCCAAGUGUCCUGAGGAGAGGCAGAAAUCUUUCUUUCCUCCUUGUGAACAAGGAGCUGGUCCACAGAGGCCAGUCUGGGAUGGAAGAAAUAGGAGAUGGGCUGAACCUGAUAAAGCCAAGGCUAGGAGAACACACUAGGAGGCUAAGGCUGAGACAAACUUAAACCUUCAAUUGUGACCACUUCACAGCCACAAGUUGGUCCAAAUCGGAUGUCACCUAGGGGUAGGCAGAUCUAUCCAGUAUCACUGUCUUCACUAAGGAGUGCGAAUAUCUCCACAGCUGAACUAGACGCUCAAGGACAGAACAAGAGGAGACCAUAACUUCCUCCUGGCCUCUCCUCCAGCUGAGUCCUAAGUGCCCUCCCCAACUCGGACCCGCCUCUUCUCUAUUAUGACAACUCAAGGUAGAACCCAUCUGCCCUACAUCAGCAUCUGUCUUGCCUUUGUGUUAAACUCAAUGUUCUCUCACGCUAUCAUCUGCUCUGAUGAACAAGAAAACAAGCCUGUGUGUAGUCCCAUGGUUUUAUAGCAUGGUGAAGCUCCUCCAUGGGUUUAUAGCAUGGUAAAGCUCCUCUAGUUCUCAUACAAUCUGCCACGUCUUAACCUUUUAUUAUAUUGAUGUUCUAAGUGCUAACCUAACCCUGGGCAAACAUCUCUGUCCUACAAACCAGAACACCAUGAUCUGAGAGGUGAAGGAAGUUGUCCAGGGCACCCAGCUGGUGAGUGGUAGAGCCACACUAAAAGCCAGCUCCAAGAAGCAAGGUCUUUCCACAUGGGUGCUCUGACUCAAAGCAAGAUCCUCCUCUGCCUCUGAGUCAGCAAGUAUAAAAUUAGAAUUUCAUUCGGCAGUCAUCAAGUCUUAAGACUGUCUGGGGCUCUCCUGAAACCACAAGCCAGCCCAUUGAGUCAGUGAAGGAGGAGCAACUUGAUUCCUGAGAAUGAAAACGUAUUGUUUUCCUA